GUGACCUGCGGAGGGAUCAUUACACAAAGAUAUGAAGGUAGGGUACUGGCAACAGUGCUCUGCUGAAAUAUUUUCACCCAUGUCUUUUGCGCACUUUUUGUUUCCUGGGCGAGUUUGCUCGCCACCAGGACCCCCAUAUGAACCUUUUUUGUUUUUGCACUCAGCGUCAGUACAAUAAUUUAAUCUAUUAAAACUUUCAACAACGGAUCUCUUGGUUCUGGCAUCGAUGAAGAACGCAGCGAAAUGCGAUACGUAGUGUGAAUUGCAGAAUUCAGUGAAUCAUCGAAUCUUUGAACGCACAUUGCGCCCUUUGGUAUUCCAAAGGGCAUGCCUGUUCGAGCGUCAUUUGUACCCUCAAGCUUUGCUUGGUGUUGGGCGUCUUAUUGUCUCUCCGUCUCGGGGAGACUCGCCUUAAAACAAUUGGCAGCCGGCCUACUGGUUUCGGAGCGCAGCACAAAUUUGCGCUUGCAAUCAGCCAAGGGCGGCAUCCAUGAAGCCUUUUUUCUCUCACAUUUUGACCUCGGAUCAGGUAGGGAUACCCGCUGAACUUAA
rnacentral:rRNA from 1 species